AGUGAACGCUGGCGGUAGGCCUAACACAUGCAAGUCGAACGGCAGCACAGAGGAGCUUGCUCCUCGGGUGGCGAGUGGCGGACGGGUGAGGAAUACAACGGAAUCUACUCUGUCGUGGGGGAUAACGUAGGGAAACUUACGCUAAUACCGCAUACGACCUACGGGUGAAAGCAGGGGAUCUUCGGACCUUGCGCGCUUGUCUGAGCCGGUGUCGGAGUAGCUAGUUGGAGGGGUAAAGGCCCACCACGGCGACGAUCCGUAGCUGGUCUGAGAGGAUGAUCAGCCACACUGGAACUGAGACACGGUCCAGACUCCUACGGGAGGCAGCAGUGGGGAAUAUUGGACGAUGGGCGCAAGCCUGAUCCAGCCAUACCGCGUGGGUGAAGAAGGCCUUCGGGUUGUAAAGCCCUUUUGUUGGGAAAGAAAUCCAUUUGGUUAAUGCCCGGGUGGUAUGACGUUACCCAAAGAAUAAGCACCGGCUAACUUCGUGCCAGCAGCCGCCGUAA
rnacentral:rRNA from 1 species